GCUCCUGUCGCUUAGUGGUUAAAGCCCCGGUCUUAUAAAACAUUCGAAAAACGAAUGCUGUUAUGCCGGAGCCCUCGGUUCGAGUCCGAGCAGGAGCA